AUGAACUUGCUGCUAUUUGCUCUCGCUCUCUCCCUUUUCCAGCUGCUCCCCCAUUCUCUCCUCACAUCAGCGGCUGGGAGAAGCAUGUUGGUGUUGGAGGUGUUGGGGCUUUGCUGUGCCAGGUGCUGCAGCCAGACUGAGUCCCAGACCCCAUCCUCCUGCCUGGUGAGCUCUAGAAGCUCAGGUCGUGCUAGGCCAUAGGGGAGCCCAGAUGUUAAAAAGCUGUAUGUUCCUGAUGUUUGUUCAGUCACUGAGUGGCUCAGCCGAGAUAAAGAGUUCUGGAGGAACAGCCAGUACCUGGCCGGUACCUCUAGAUGUUACCAUUGCGUAAAUGUUU
rnacentral:lncRNA from 1 species